UUCUCCUACGGGGGGCAGCAGUGGGGAAUAUUGCACAAUGGGGGAAACCCUGAUGCAGCGACGCCGCGUGAGCGAUGAAGUAUUUCGGUAUGUAAAGCUCUAUCAGCAGGGAAGAAAAUGACGGUACCUGACUAAGAAGCCCUGGCUAACUACGUGCCAGCAGCCGCGGUAAUACGUAGGGGGCAAGCGUUAUCCGGAUUUACUGGGUGUAAAGGGCGUGUAGCCGGGCUGACAAGUCAGAUGUGAAAUCCGGGGGCUCAACCCCCGAACUGCAUUUGAAACUGUUGGUCUUGAGUAUCGGAGAG
rnacentral:rRNA from 1 species